UAGCUUAUUUAGAACAGCUGUUACACGGAUGAUGCAGCUGUCAGACACGAGCAGCAUCUGCGGCGGCAGCACAGUGACCAUCGCCAAGGACAUUGUUUUUGUGAUUAUGAGGAGGAAGCAGAGGAGACUGCAACUUCAUGCACAAUCUCAUCAGCUGACAGAUUGUCCACAUAUACAAGAUAGCUUGUGGAUGCCUUCAGGAAUUUCAAGAAGUGAUGAGACUUUUGAAGUCUUGCCUUAAGUGAAUGUGCCUUAUAAGCUGCAAUGUUCACUCCCUCCGUUUCUUCCACAGUUUUUUUGAAUAGCAAAUUCAGCUUUGACAGUCGAAGCACUUCGCUGUGUUUUAAAAGCCUCUCCUCAAUGACUGUUUUGCAGAAGUGCUUGUAUCCAUUUUCAUAUAUGUUUGUUUCUGUUCUCAUUUUUUUGUGUGGUCAGGUACCGGGUAUAAUCUCGAUAGCAGGUGAAGUGAUACCGUGCUUCACUAGCCACCAAGUCCCUGUCUUGGAUAUGGAGAAGGAGAGACUUCUCCCUUAAGCGGCGAGAAGCAAUUUCCCGGCAUGGAGUGUUUCACACUGUGUUAGUUUUUCUUUUACCCUUUUCCUGCUGUGUGUCCAAACCUUGUACUUCUCAUGUUUGCAAAUAAUGCAUUGUACUGGAAGCAUUUGGCAGACGUUUUUGUACAAAGCGACUUACAGUGCAAUUAUUACAGGGACAAUCCCCCCCGGAACAACCUGGAGUUAAGUGCCUUGCUCAAGGACACAAUAUUACUGUAUAUAACUAUAUUAUUUGUACUAUUAUACUGUUACUGCUACUACACUGCACAUAACUGUAUGUGUUUGUUCAUACUGCAUAUCCAUUUCUAUUAUGAUCUAUUAUGCACAUUUAUGUAAUUUAUAUUACUGUAAAACAUACUACUUUCUUAAAUGUAUACUACUGUCUACACAGUACCGAAUGUCUUAAACUGCACCACCUAUCUAUACAAUAUAAUACUGCACUGUAUGUCUUUUACUGCACCUCCUGUCUAUACAAUAUAAUACCAACCUUCAUUUGCAGUUUCUUCAACUAAUACUGCCUUCUCUCUUCUCCUUUGUGCUCGUUCUAUCUUCGUGAUAUUUGUGAAAUGGCUGUAGCACUCCCUGUGGUAGCCAAUGUUAGCUGGUUUGACGAACUGGUUUGUAGGUUCCUGGCUUUGUAACUUGUAUGCCUGUACUGCCUCUUCUGCUAUAAGACUUUCUCUGCAUUCAAGGUCUUUCCACAGAAACACCGAUUUAAUAAAUUUCUCCCAACUUAUGUCUGUGAAGGGAAUGGUGGGUCCAUUUCCCUCACAUAUAUGCAUGCAGCACUUCAUGUUUUUGCCAUUUCUUCCACAGUAAAAAUGUGCGGGAAAAA